AGCAGUCGCCACGGGAAUACGAGGGGGGCAAGCGUUGUUCGGAAUUAUUGGGCGUAAAGGGUGCGUAGGCGGUUCGACAAGUCUUAUGUGAAAUCUCUGGGCUCAACCCAGAGUCUGCAUGGGAAACUGUCGGGCUUGAGUAUGGGAGAGGUGAGUGGAAUUUCCGGUGUAGCGGUGAAAUGCGUAGAUAUCGGAAGGAACACCUGUGGCGAAAGCGGCUCACUGGACCAUAACUGACGCUGAUGCACGAAAGCUAUGGGAGCAAACAGGAUUAGAUACCCCGGUAGUCCCUGUCUCUUAUAC
rnacentral:rRNA from 1 species